rnacentral:rRNA from 1 species
UAGGGAAUCUUCGGCAAUGGGGGGAACCCUGACCGAGCAACGCCGCGUGAGUGAAGAAGGUUUUCGGAUCGUAAAGCUCUGUUGUUAAGGAAGAACGAGUGUGAGAAUGGAAAGUUCAUGCUGUGACGGUACUUAACCAGAAAGGGACGGCUAACUACGUGCCAGCAGCCGCGGUAAUACGUAGGUCCCGAGCGUUGUCCGGAUUUAUUGGGCGUAAAGCGAGCGCAGGCGGUUAGAAAAGUCUGAAGUUAAAGGCAGUGGCUCAACCAUUGUAGGCUUUGGAAACUGUUUAACUUGAGUGCAGAAGGGGGGAGUGGAAUUCCAUGUGUAGCGGUGAAAUGCGUAGAUAUAUGGAGGAACACCGGUGGCGAAAGCGGCUCUCUGGUCUGUAACUGACGCUGAGGCUCGAAAGCGUGGGGAGCGAACAGG